rnacentral:rRNA from 1 species
UGGGGAAUAUUGCACAAUGGGCGAAAGCCUGAUGCAGCGACGCCGCGUGGGGGAUGACGGUCUUCGGAUUGUAAACCCCUUUCAGUAGGGACGAAGCGCAAGUGACGGUACCUGCAGAAGAAGCACCGGCUAACUACGUGCCAGCAGCCGCGGUAAUACGUAGGGUGCGAGCGUUGUCCGGAAUUACUGGGCGUAAAGAGCUCGUAGGCGGUUUGUCACGUCGUCUGUGAAAUCCCUCGGCUUAACCGGGGGCGUGCAGGCGAUACGGGCAGACUUGAGUACUACAGGGGAGACUGGAAUUCCUGGUGUAGCAGUGAAAUGCGCAGAUAUCAGGAGGAACACCGGUGGCGAAGGCGGGUCUCUGGGUAGUAACUGACGCUGAGGAGCGAAAGCAUGGGUAGCGAACAGGAUUAGAUACCCUGGUAGUCCAUGCCGUAAACGGUGGGCGCUAGGUGUGGGGUCCUUCCACGGACUCCGUGCCGUAGCUAACGCAUUAAGCGCCCCGCCUGGGGAGUACGGCCGCAAGGCUA